GUUUAAUAGAAAUUGUUUUGCAUCUAAAUCUCUCUGCUGGUAGCUGGCUAUAUGCACAGAGUUUUCCUUGUUAUUGUUGUAUGUUUUACAUCUACAGAAAUGUCUUUCAACCUGAAAAACCCUGCUGUGGUUAUGAAUACUGGGAUUCAUUGCGGGCAUGAAUUGUCUCUUCAGAAUACAGCGGGAGACUUCCAUAAUGGUAUUCAGGAUCCUAGGUGCUGGAAAUCAAAUUUCAGAACAUUAACUUGCUUAGUAGUUGUUUUGUGAUAGUGGACCAAUAUUUAUUUAUUGACUGGGGCUGGAAUUAGAGGUCAACAUCUAGCAGAGAAUAUCCAUGGCAGCUAUCAUAAUAAAUUCUCUCCUAAAACAGUGAGGCA
rnacentral:lncRNA from 1 species